CCGAUAGCAAACAAGUACCAUGAGGGAAAGAUGAAAAGGACUUUGAAAAGAGAGUUAAAAGUGCCUGAACUUGCUGAAAGGAAAGCGGAUGGAACCAGUGUUGCUUGGCGAGAUUGUUGCGUGCGAAAGUGAUUGCUUGCUGCAUCAGCGCAAGCGGUGCUGUGGGUUUUGAUCUGGCUGUGCGCGAUGCUUCUUGCCUCGUGUGUCAUCGUCAGUGUGCUGGUGAGGACAACUCUUGGGACAUGGUAGCCUGCCCCUGGGCGUGCGAAUGUGCCUUGCAGAACUCACUGUCAUAUUGCUCCUCCACAUGUGAGGUCGUGCUGCCUUUCUUUGGCACCUGUGUUGGCGUUUGUGCCUGGCCUAGGUGUCGUUUGCUGAGCACCUUCCUGACAUAGCCAUGGUGACUAAAUGGUUCUAUUCGACCCGUCUUGAAACACGGACCAAGGAGUCUAACAUGUGUGCGAGUUCUUGGGCGGCGAAACCUACGUGCGCAAUGAAAGUGAUUACUGAGAUGCUAGCAUCAGCAGCCGACCGAUCAAUUGGGAGAGGUUUGAGCAUGAGCAUAUCUGUUAGGACCCGAAAGAUGGUGAACUAUGCUUGUGAAGGGUGAAGUCUGGGGAAACUCAGAUGGAGGCUCGUAGCGAUACUGAC
rnacentral:rRNA from 1 species